CUUUGAAAAGUCACCAAGAGUUUUUUUUCAGGAAUUUCUUUUAAAAAUACUUCAGAAACUCUUUCAGCAAGACCUUCAAAGAUUUAUCCAGGAUUUUAAGAAUCUCAGAGGCGAAUGACAUAAGUUAAAACCUCUAUAAUAAAUAAUAAUAGAGUAGCUGUUAAAAUUAUAUUCCCUUUCUAUUCUAACUCAUUACAGUUCAAAGCGUCGUGUUUCUCUUGUUGCUCGAGACGAGCCUUAUCUUGUGGAUUUUAAAAUCAAAUCAGCGGCGCAAAUAUGUUCAUUUGGGAUUGGUUCACCGGUGUCCUGGGAUACUUGGGCCUAUGGAAGAAAUCCGGCAAACUGUUAUUCUUAGGUCUGGAUAAUGCCGGCAAAACGACAUUGCUGCACAUGCUCAAG